AUGCGUAGGUGGUUUCUUAAGCAAAACAUGAAAUCACGAGGCUCAACCUCGUGGCUGUGUUUUGAACUGGGAAACUAGAGAAUGGUAGAGGUAACUGGAAUUCCUAGUGUAGGAGUGAUAUCCGUAGAUACUAGGAGGAACACCAAUGGCGAAGGCAGGUUACUGGGCCAUUUCUGACACUGGGGCUCGAAAGCGUGGGGAGCAAACG
rnacentral:rRNA from 1 species